CCUACGGGAGGCAGCAGUGAGGAAUAUUGGUCAAUGGGCGCGAGCCUGAACCAGCCAAGUAGCGUGAAGGAUGACUGCCCUACGGGUUGUAAACUUCUUUUAUAAAGUAAUAAAGUGAGGCACGUGUGCCUUUUUGUAUGUACUUUAUGAAUAAGGAUCGGCUAACUCCGUGCCAUCAGCCGCGGUAAUAAGGAGGAUCCGGGUUUUAUCCGGAUUUAUUGGGUUUAAAGGGAGCGUAGAUGGUUUGUUAAGUCAGUUGUGAAAGUUUGCGGCUCAACCGUAAAAUUGCAAUUGAUACCGGCAGUCUUGGGUACAGUUGAGGUAGGCGGAAUUCGUGGUGUAGCGGUGAAAUGCUUAGAUAUCACGAAGAACUCCGAUUGCGAAGGCAGCUUACUAAACUGCCACUGACAUUGAUGCUCGAAAGUGUGGGUAUCAAACAGGAUUAGAUACCCUUGUAGUC
rnacentral:rRNA from 1 species